rnacentral:rRNA from 1 species
UACGGAGGGGGCUAGCGUUGUUCGGAAUUACUGGGCGUAAAGCGCACGUAGGCGGCUUUGUAAGUUAGAGGUGAAAGCCCGGGGCUCAACUCCGGAAUUGCCUUUAAGACUGCAUCGCUAGAAUUGUGGAGAGGUAAGUGGAAUUCCGAGUGUAGAGGUGAAAUUCGUAGAUAUUCGGAAGAACACCAGUGGCGAAGGCGGCUUUUUGGUCUGUAACUGACGCUGAGGCGCGAAAGCGUGGGGAGCAAACAGG